CGGGGGGUGGCUGUUUGGGGCCCGGCCGAGUUGGAAUCUAGAGAAGCGUCUUCCGCGCUGGACCGUGUACAAGUCUCCUGGAAGGGAGCGUCAUAGAGGGUGAGAAUCCCGUCUUUGACACGGACUACCAGUGCUAUGUGAUGCGCUCUCGACGAGUCGAGUUGUUUGGGAAUGCAGCUCAAAUAGGGUGGUAAAUUCCAUCUAAAGCUAAAUACAGGCGAGAGACCGAUAGCGAACAAGUACCGUGAGGGAAAGAUGAAAAGAACUUUGGAAAGAGAGUUAAACAGUACGUGAAAUUGCUGAAAGGGAAACGCUUGAUGUCAGUCACGUCGUCCGGGGAUCAACCUUGCUUCACCGCUGGGUGUACUUCCCGGCAGACGGGUCAGCAUCGGUUUCGGUCGUCGUACAAUGGCGAGAGGAACGUGGCACCCUUCUAGGGUGUGUUAUAGCCUUUCGUCGUAUGCGGCGGUCGGGACCGAGGAACUCAGCACGACUUCGGUCUGUGCUUAGGAUGCUGGCAUAAUGGCCUUAAGCGACCCGUCUUGAAACACGGACCAAGGAGUCUAACAUGCCUGCGAGUGUUCGGGUGUCAAACUCGUGCGCGCAAUGAAAGUGAAAGUCGAGACCUCCGUCGUGGAGGGGCAUCGACGCCCGGACUUGAGUCUUUGACGACGGAUCUGCGGUAGAGCAUGCAUGUU
rnacentral:rRNA from 1 species